CUCCUGUGAAGCAAAGGCUAAAUGAGAAAGUAGAUCCAGCAAGUAAGCAGAAACUUCAAGGCCGCCUAAGAAGGAGGCUUGUGGGGCAUGUUCUCCAACAAACUAAGUAAAAGAAAAGGGCUUGUAAAAUAAAAUACAAAGAUGUGUAUUUGGUGAAACCUGAGCAAGUACCAGAUACUGGCAAGAGAUACAUGUGAUUGCAGCUUGCAGCCCCCCCCCCCAUGAGGUUUCAAGUGAACUGAGUCAUUGGAAGUGUAUGAUUUGACUAAGAGUUUAUCUCCUGGAUUUGCUGCUACUUACUGCAAUCAGAAGGGACAUUUUCCCCUUGAAAUCAAUGUCUUUGUACAGUCUAAAACCACCUCUGUACUUCUCCAAGGAAGUCUCUCAGGAACAUCAGUUCCGUAAGACUGUUUCAUCACCUUAAACUGUUCUGGAGUCCAUCGUGCACCAUUUCAGACACCAAGCUCUGUUCAGUAAGCCAGUGACAGGCAAUUAAAAGAAAGAGCACUAAAAUGUUCUGUCAGCAUUACUGACCUUAAUUAGCAGUAUGCGAAUCAGCAUAUGCUAAAACUAUGACUGCUCGGACUCUUCCAUCCUCAAAGACAUUUGAUCCAGCUGAAAACACAGUGGAAACAAGACAGCUGCAAGAGCUAUGACAUGAAGCUGGUUCUAUAGGAACAUGUAGGCUUAAUUUAGUAACACUUGUUUUUCUUUGGCUCCAUGGCCACGCUAUCUCCAAGGAGGAGCAGGGCCAUUGCUGUCCUGACACCGAUCUUCAGCAGAGGAUCCGUGGGAUGAAGCACUGUAGGAAUCUAGUGAAAACAACACCCCAGCUUUACCCAGUCCAAGCGGAUUACAGGGCUUACAGAGCUGUAAAAGCUGUUUUCAUAAGGGCUGCCUGUUAACUGGUCCCUUCAGGACUUCACGCUGGCGUUAAGUGAUCAGGCCUUGAAAACCCAGCACUUGUGUUCACAUGGAGUGUCAACAGAACCGAAUAUGGAUUGUACAGCACAGAGCUCUCACAACCAGAGGAUUUAAAACCCCUACCAAAGGGUGUUGUUGGGGGUUUUCCUCUCAGCCAUCAGGCAGUUACACUGAGACCACUGAAACCAGCCUGAAGGGCGCACACGCUAUCAAAACCACAUGGAGAAGGCAGCAUUUGGAAAAGAGCAAGGCACAGCCGGGCUGCAGCAGGGCAGAAAGCAAAAGCUCAGGUUACAGCAUGGUCUGGCAGGUGGAAAAACCCCAAGGGUUUACUGACAACCUGCUUGUAUAUAAAUAGGAGGUAUUGCCCCAGAAAUAGAGAAGCCAAGCAGCGGGACACGGCCGUAACGCUAAAUCCUGGGGCAGCAGCAGAGAAGUGACUGAACUUCCAUAACUCAAUGCGGCUGGGAUCCAGCAUGAAAUAAAAAGCACGAUUGAUUCUCAAAA